AAACCGACGGCUUUAUUUACCUACUAUACUAUUAUAGCUAUUUUGCUGUUCUUUAUUUCUUAUUUAUUUUUUAUUACACAACAAAGCGUUAUAGAUAGAUAAAUCACGACUUUUGCAUUAGAGAUUUUCAGAAUUUUCACUGAUUUGCCUCUAACAUAUUAAAUAUCGCCAACGAUAGUAAUGUAUGCGAAUUAUAAAUUUUGUAAAAAUUGGGUGGGCUAAGUAGACUCAAGUCCUUCCUUAGUUGAGCUAAUAUCGUAAUAAUAAAUGUACACGAAAAAUCCACGAUGUAAUCUUAUGUCUA